GUGGUUGUAGCUCAGUUGGUAGAGCGCCUGGUUGUGGCCCAGGAGGUCGCGGGUUCGAGCCCCGUCAUCCACCCCA
rnacentral:tRNA from 1 species